rnacentral:tRNA from 1 species
GGUUCAGUGGUCUAGUGGUUAUGAUUUCUGUCUCACACACAGAAGGUCCCCGUUUCGAGCACGGGCUGAAUCA